rnacentral:rRNA from 1 species
UGGGGAAUAUUGGACAAUGGGCGCAAGCCUGAUCCAGCCAUGCCGCGUGAGUGAUGAAGGCCUUAGGGUUGUAAAGCUCUUUCGCCGGUGAAGAUAAUGACGGUAACCGGAGAAGAAGCCCCGGCUAACUUCGUGCCAGCAGCCGCGGUAAUACGAAGGGGGCUAGCGUUGCUCGGAAUCACUGGGCGUAAAGCGCACGUAGGCGGAUCGUUAAGUCAGGGGUGAAAUCCUGGAGCUCAACUCCAGAACUGCCCUUGAUACUGGCGAUCUCGAGUUCGAGAGAGGUUGGUGGAACUCCGAGUGUAGAGGUGAAAUUCGUAGAUAUUCGGAAGAACACCAGUGGCGAAGGCGGCCAACUGGCUCGAUACUGACGCUGAGGUGCGAAAGCGUGGGGAGCAAAACAGGAUUAGAUACCCUGGUAGUCCACGCCGUAAACGAUGGAUGCUAGCCGUUGGGGGGUUUACCUCUCAGUGGCGCAGCUAACGCCUUAAGCAUCCCGCCUGGGGAGUACGGUCGCAAGAUUAAAACUUAAAGGAAUUGACGGGGUCAUAGCUGUUUCC